rnacentral:precursor_RNA from 8 species
UGAAAGGAAAAAAUGUAUUCAUAUAAGGUCAACUCCAAACAUUCAAAACGCAUUGUUGAAUGGAAUUAGGUAUUUUGAGUGUUUGGAAUUGAACUUGUAUGCACUGAUACACCAAUACCAGU